AUCCAGUUGACGAGCUCCAAAAUAGGACGAAAUGCGCGUCCUGGAU
rnacentral:hammerhead_ribozyme from 1 species